rnacentral:rRNA from 1 species
CUUGGUCAUUUAGAGGAAGUAAAAGUCGUAACAAGGUUUCCGUAGGUGAACCUGCGGAAGGAUCAUUAAUGAGAAUUAUAGAGGGAGUUGAUGCUGGUUGCCUUUCUUACUUAGGGAGGGUUACAUGUGCUCGCUUCUGAUAUUCUUUAUCCAUACACCUGUGCACCUGAUGAGGGAUUAACGUCUGAGGCUUUCUUUGCUUCGAGUUUCCCUCUUCUUUUCUACAAACCCUUUUGCAAACUUUGAACGUGAUUGUGCCGCAAGGCCAUAAAAUGUAAUACAACUUUUAACAACGGAUCUCUUGGCUCUCGCAUCGAUGAAGAACGCAGCGAAUUGCGUUAAGUAAUGUGAAUUGCAGAAUUCAGUGAAUCAUCGAAUCUUUGAACGCAUCUUGCGCUCUCUGGUAUUCCGGAGAGCACGCCUGUUCGAGUGUCGUGAAAUUAUCAAGCGCUAGGUGGCUUUAUUGCUAUUUCGGCUUGGAUUUGGGCUUUGCUGUGUUAUUGCGGCUGGUCUUAAAAGUAUUAGCUGGCUUCUUGAUUACGAGUUUGGUUCUACUUGGCGUGAUAAUUUAUCUGACCGCUAAGGACAUCUUUCAGGAUGGCCAGGCUUUUUUCUAUGGGCCGCUUCUAAUAUGGUUAAUGGGUUCAUCUGAAUCUAUUCCGUUUUCCGACCUUUGACCUCGAAUCAGGUGGGACAACCCGCUGAACUUAAGCAUAUCAAUAAGCGGAGGAAAAGAAACUAACAAGGAUUCCCCUAGUAACGGCGAGUGAAGCGGGAUAAGCCCAAAUUUAAAAUCUGGCAGUCUUCGAUUGUCCGAGUUGUAAUCUAGAGAAGCGUUUUCCGCGCUGGACUGUGUACAAGUUUCCUGGAUACGGAACAUCAUAGAGGGUGAGAAUCCCGUCCUUGACACAGACUCCCAGUGCUCUGUGAUGCGCUCUCGACGAGUCGAGUUGUUUGGGAUUGCAGCUCAAAAUGGGAGGUAAAUUCCUUCUAAAGCUAAAUAUUGGCGAGAGACCGAUAGCGAACAAGUACCGUGAGGGAAAGAUGAAAAGCACUUUGGAAAGAGAGUUAAACAGUACGUGAAAUUGUUAAAAGGGAAACGCUUGAAGUCAGUCGCGUCUACUUGGACUCAGCCUUACUUCGGUUUGGUGUAUUUCCUUGUAGACGGGCCAGCGUCCAUGUUGUUUGCUGGAAAAAGGGUGAAGGAAUGUGGCUCUUCCGGGAGUGUUAUAGCCUUUGCUCACAUACGGCGGAUAAUAUGGAGUGGUACAGCAUGCUUCGGUGGUGCUUGUGCUGGCAUAAUGGCUUUAAACGACCCGUCUUGAAACACGGACC